GAUGAACGCUGGCGGCGUGCUUAACACAUGCAAGUCGAACGGGAAUUACUUUAUUGAAGCUUCGGUCGAUUUAAUUUAAUUCUAGUGGCGGACGGGUGAGUAACGCGUGGGUAACCUGCCUUGUACAGGGGGAUAACAGUCAGAAAUGGCUGCUAAUACCGCAUAAGCGCACAGAGCUGCAUGGCUCAGUGUGAAAAACUCCGGUGGUAUAAGAUGGACCCGCGUUGGAUUAGCUUGUUGGUGGGGUAACGGCCCACCAAGGCGACGAUCCAUAGCCGGCCUGAGAGGGUGAACGGCCACAUUGGGACUGAGACACGGCCCAG
rnacentral:rRNA from 1 species